rnacentral:tRNA from 1 species
GGGCGCGGCGGCCGGCAGGGCCGCGGUGAUUCCGGCUUCCGCCCGGUGGAGGGCAGGAGUGCCGGGGUUGGGUUCAGGCCCCGCUGCCUUCAC